rnacentral:rRNA from 1 species
AUUGAACGCUGGCGGCAGGCCUAACACAUGCAAGUCGAGCGGAUGAAGGGAGCUUGCUCCUGGAUUCAGCGGCGGACGGGUGGGUAAUUCCUAGGAAUCUGCCUGGUUGUGGGGGCUAACGUCCUGAAACGGGCGCUAAUACCGCAUCCGUCCUGAGGGCGAAAGGGGGGGAUCUUCGGACCUCACGCUAUCAGGUGAGCCUAGGUCGGAUUAGCUAGUUGGUGGGGUAAAGGCCUACCAAGGCGACGAUCCGUAACUGGUCUGAGAGGAUGAUCAGUCACACUGGAACUGAGACACGGUCCAGACUCCUACGGGAGGCAGCAGUGGGGAAUAUUGGACAAUGGGCGAAAGCCUGAUCCAGCCAUGCCGCGUGUGUGAAGAAGGUCUUCGGAUUGUAAAGCACUUUAAGUUGGGAGGAAGGGCAGUAAGUUAAUACCUUGCUGUUUUGACGUUACCAACAGAAUAAGCACCGGCUAACUUCGUG